rnacentral:rRNA from 1 species
GACGAACGCUGGCGGCGUGCUUAACACAUGCAAGUCGAACGGAAGGGCCCUGCUUUUGUGGGGUGCUCGAGUGGCGAACGGGUGAGUAACACGUGAGUAACCUGCCCUUGACUUUGGGAUAACUUCAGGAAACUGGGGCUAAUACCGGAUAGGAGCUCCUGCUGCAUGGUGGGGGUUGGAAAGUCUCGGCGGUUGGGGAUGGACUCGCGGCUUAUCAGCUUGUUGGUGGGGUAGUGGCUUACCAAGGCUUUGACGGGUAGCCGGCCUGAGAGGGUGACCGGCCACAUUGGGACUGAGAUACGGCCCAGACUCCUACGGGAGGCAGCAGUGGGGAAUAUUGCACAAUGGGCGGAAGCCUGAUGCAGCAACGCCGCGUGCGGGAUGACGGCCUUCGGGUUGUAAACCGCUUUCGCCUGUGACGAAGCGUGAGUGACGGUAAUGGGUAAAGAAGCACCGGCUAACUACGUG